rnacentral:rRNA from 1 species
GGGUUGUGAGGUUAAGCGACUAAGCGUACACGGUGGAUGCCCUGGCAGUCAGAGGCGAUGAAGGACGUGCUAAUCUGCGAAAAGCGUCGGUAAGGUGAUAUGAACCGUUAUAACCGGCGAUGUCCGAAUGGGGAAACCCAGUGCAAUUCGUUGCACUAUCGUUAACUGAAUACAUAGGUUAACGAGGCGAACCGGGGGAACUGAAACAUCUAAGUACCCCGAGGAAAAGAAAUCAACCGAGAUUCCGCCAGUAGCGGCGAGCGAACGGGGAGCAGCCCAGAGUCUGAAUCAGCUUGUGUGUUAGUGGAACGGUCUGGAAAGUCCGACGGUACAGGGUGAUAGUCCCGUACACCAAAAUGCACAGGCUGUGAACUCGAAGAGUAGGGCGGGACACGUGGUAUCCUGUCUGAAUAUGGGGGGACCAUCCUCCAAGGCUAAAUACUCCUGACUGACCGAUAGUGAACCAGUACCGUGAGGGAAAGGCGAAAAGAACCCCGGCGAGGGGAGUGAAAAAGAACCUGAAACCGUGUACGUACAAGCAGUGGGAGCACCUUCGGGUGUGACUGCGUACCUUUUGUAUAAUGGGUCAGCGACUUAUAUUCUGUAGCAAGGUUAACCGUAUAGGGGAGCCGCAGGGAAACCGAGUCUUAACUGGGCGUUAAGUUGCAGGGUAUAGACCCGAAACCCGGUGAUCUAGCCAUGGGCAGGUUGAAGGUUGGGUAACACUAACUGGAGGACCGAACCGACUAAUGUUGAAAAAUUAGCGGAUGACUUGUGGCUGGGGGUGAAAGGCCAAUCAAACCGGGAGAUAGCUGGUUCUCCCCGAAAGCUAUUUAGGUAGCGCCUCGUGAAUUCAUCUUCGGGGGUAGAGCACUGUUUCGGCUAGGGGGUCAUCCCGACUUACCAACCCGAUGCAAACUACGAAUACCGAAGAAUGUUAUCACGGGAGACACACGGCGGGUGCUAACGUCCGUCGUGAAGAGGGAAACAACCCAGACCGCCAGCUAAGGUCCCAAAGUCAUGGUUAAGUGGGAAACGAUGUGGGAAGGCACAGACAGCCGGGAUGUUGGCUUAGAAGCAGCCAUCAUUUAAAGAAAGCGUAAUAGCUCACUGGUCGAGUCGGCCUGCGCGGAAGAUGUAACGGGGCUAAACCAUGCACCGAAGCUGCGGCAGCGACACUAUGUGUUGUUGGGUAGGGGAGCGUUCUGUAAGCCUGCGAAGGUGACCUGUGAGGGUUGCUGGAGGUAUCAGAAGUGCGAAUGCUGACAUAAGUAACGAUAAAGCGGGUGAAAGGCCCGCUCGCCGGAAGACCAAGGGUUCCUGUCCAACGUUAAUCGGGGCAGGGUGAGUCGACCCCUAAGGCGAGGCCGAAAGGCGUAGUCGAUGGGAAACAGGUUAAUAUUCCUGUACUUGGUGUUACUGCGAAGGGGGGACGGAGAAGGCUAUGUUAGCCGGGCGACGGUUGUCCCGGUUUAAGCAUGUAGGCUGGUUAUCCAGGCAAAUCCGGAUAAUCAAGGCUGAGGUGUGAUGACGAGGCACUACGGUGCUGAAGUAACAAAUGCCCUGCUUCCAGGAAAAGCCUCUAAGCAUCAGGUAACAUCAAAUCGUACCCCAAACCGACACAGGUGGUCAGGUAGAGAAUACCAAGGCGCUUGAGAGAACUCGGGUGAAGGAACUAGGCAAAAUGGUGCCGUAACUUCGGGAGAAGGCACGCUGGUGUGUAGGUGAAGUCCCUGCGGAUGGAGCUGAGACCAGUCGAAGAUACCAGCUGGCUGCAACUGUUUAUUAAAAACACAGCACUGUGCAAACACGAAAGUGGACGUAUACGGUGUGACGCCUGCCCGGUGCCGGAAGGUUAAUUGAUGGGGUUAUCCGUAAGGAGAAGCUCUUGAUCGAAGCCCCGGUAAACGGCGGCCGUAACUAUAACGGUCCUAAGGUAGCGAAAUUCCUUGUCGGGUAAGUUCCGACCUGCACGAAUGGCGUAAUGAUGGCCAGGCUGUCUCCACCCGAGACUCAGUGAAAUUGAACUCGCUGUGAAGAUGCAGUGUACCCGCGGCAAGACGGAAAGACCCCGUGAACCUUUACUAUAGCUUGACACUGAACAUUGAGCCUUGAUGUGUAGGAUAGGUGGGAGGCUUUGAAGCGUGGACGCCAGUCUGCGUGGAGCCAACCUUGAAAUACCACCCUUUAAUGUUUGAUGUUCUAACGUUGGCCCCUGACCGGGGUUGCGGACAGUGUCUGGUGGGUAGUUUGACUGGGGCGGUCUCCUCCCAAAGCGUAACGGAGGAGCACGAAGGUUAGCUAAUCCUGGUCGGACAUCAGGAGGUUAGUGCAAUGGCAUAAGCUAGCUUGACUGCGAGCGUGACGGCGCGAGCAGGUGCGAAAGCAGGUCAUAGUGAUCCGGUGGUUCUGAAUGGAAGGGCCAUCGCUCAACGGAUAAAAGGUACUCCGGGGAUAACAGGCUGAUACCGCCCAAGAGUUCAUAUCGACGGCGGUGUUUGGCACCUCGAUGUCGGCUCAUCACAUCCUGGGGCUGAAGUAGGUCCCAAGGGUAUGGCUGUUCGCCAUUUAAAGUGGUACGCGAGCUGGGUUUAGAACGUCGUGAGACAGUUCGGUCCCUAUCUGCCGUGGGCGCUGGAGAAUUGAGGGGGGCUGCUCCUAGUACGAGAGGACCGGAGUGGACGCAUCACUGGUGUUCGGGUUGUCAUGCCAAUGGCACUGCCCGGUAGCUAAAUGCGGAAGAGAUAAGUGCUGAAAGCAUCUAAGCACGAAACUUGCCCCGAGAUGAGUUCUCCCUGAGACUUUAAGUCUCCUGAAGGAACGUUAAAGACGAUGACGUUGAUAGGCCGGGUGUGUAAGCGCAGCGAUGCGUUGAGCUAACCGGUACUAAUGAACCGUGAGGCUUAACCUUACAACGCCGAAG